AGUGGAAUUGCUGGGUUAUAUGGGAAACUCUGUAUUUAACUUUUUAAGGAACUGCCAAAACCAUUUCUAAAGUGGUUGUACCUUUUUAUAUUCCCAUCAGCAAU
rnacentral:pre_miRNA from 1 species